UCAUCUUUCCUAUUUACACUUAUCUAUCUAUCUUGGUUAAGUUAGAGCGUAGUUGGUUCUCCCGUUUCCCUGUGGAUACGAUAAAACCUUUAACCGGGUAAAAGCUUCAACGGUAUCCGUGCGCUUGCGGAUUAUCUGUAUGCGUGUAAAUACCAUAGUACACUCUCGUGCCAUGCUGGGGAUGACAACCUAGUAUUCAAGUGGUGUUAGCAAGUGUCAACAAGCAUUUUUGGCGCCGUUGCCGGAGACACGGUUGCUGAGUUGACUACGAACUAGCUUAAUCAUUUUCUAAAAAAUAAAAAAAAUAUAUUUUCCUUUUAUCCUUUGCCUCAUCUCUGCUAAUCUUUCUUCUUACCUAAUCCUUGAUCUCUGGUCUAUCAUGAAUUCAAACAUGUCUAUCUAUGAAUUUCAUAGACCUACGGGCACACAUCUCGAACCACCAAAAUCUUCAAAGCCUAUCAUAGCAUCUAGUUUUGAGAUAGACCCCGAAUACAUAGAAUUUGUUCAAAAACAACCUUUCUCAGGAGAAAGUGAGGAAAACCCAUACACACACCUAAGAGAGUUUUAUCGAGUCUGUGACCUCCUUCGCAUAGAAGGCAUGUCCGAUGAGACCCUUAAAUGGAAGCUCUUUCCGUUCUCUUUAACGGGAAAAGCUAGACAUUGGUACAAACUCAAAGUAGGGAGUGU
rnacentral:lncRNA from 1 species